CUAUAACAGCUUAAUACGUCAAAUUUGACCAAUCAAUUUGUAGGAUUUGUUAUGUUCACUUGUGGAAAAAUACUAAAAUUCACCCUGCUCGGUUUCCUUUGUUCUUAUCGGGGAAUAUAUUCAAUAUUCUCCUCUAAUCAAUUUCCGUUUAAUAAUCCCCUCUAAUAUUCACCUGCAAUUAAUAAUCGGCUAUCUUUAAAACAAGGAACGGGGAAUCGGGGAAUGGGAACGGG